UAAUACGUAGGGUGCGAGCGUUGUCCGGAAUUAUUGGGCGUAAAGAGCUUGUAGGUGGUUUGUCGCGUCUGCUGUGAAAAUCCGAGGCUCAACCUCGGACUUGCAGUGGGUACGGGCAGACUAGAGUGUGGUAGGGGAGACUGGAAUUCCUGGUGUAGCGGUGGAAUGCGCAGAUAUCAGGAGGAACACCGAUGGCGAAGGCAGGUCUCUGGGCCAUUACUAACACUGAGAAGCGAAAGCAUGGGGAGCGAACAGGAUUAGAUACCCUGGUAGUCCAUGCCGUAAACGUUGGGAACUAGGUGUGGGUCUCAUUCCACGAGAUCCGUGCCGCAGCUAACGCAUUAAGUUCCCCGCCUGGGGAGUACGGCCGCAAGGCU
rnacentral:rRNA from 1 species